rnacentral:rRNA from 1 species
GAUGAACGCUGGCGGCGUGCCUAAUACAUGCAAGUCGAGCGAACAGACGAGGAGCUUGCUCCUUUGACGUUAGCGGCGGGCGGGUGAGUAACACGUGGGUAACCUACCUAUAAGACUGGGAUAACUUCGGGAAACCGGAGCUAAUACCGGAUAAUAUUUCGAACCGCAUGGUUCGAUAGUGAAAGAUGGCUUUGCUAUCACUUAUAGAUGGACCUGCGCCGUAUUAGCUAGUUGGUAAGGUAACGGCUUACCAAGGCAACGAUACGUAGCCGACCUGAGAGGGUGAUCGGCCACACUGGAACUGAGACACGGUCCAGACUCCUACGGGAGGCAGCAGUAGGGAAUCUUCCGCAAUGGGCGAAAGCCUGACGGAGCAACGCCGCGUGAGUGAUGAAGGUCUUCGGAUCGUAAAACUCUGUUAUUAGGGAAGAACAAACGUGUAAGUAACUGUGCACGUCUUGACGGUACCUAAUCAGAAAGCCACGGCUAACUACGUG